rnacentral:rRNA from 1 species
AUGGCUUCUGUUCCGCCACUCCAGGUCUCCUUGGACGAACACGAAGGUUCUGGCCAAGAGGGUGUUCAGGAAGUUCAGGAAAUCGCUAAUGGAACCGAAUCAAAUGUGAAAAAGAGAAAACAAAGGGAAACAGAAAUCAGUGUCUUGGAGGAAAGGGCGUUGCAGAAAGGUAUACCGCAGACUGCAGAUGAAUUCGAGAAGUUGGUUAGGAGCUCUCCAAAUAGCAGCUUCGUCUGGAUAAAGUAUAUGGAAUUUUUGGUUGACCUCGUGGAUGCUGAAAAAGCACGUUCAGUUGCUGAAAGGGCUUUGAGAACAAUAAACAUUCGAGAAGAGGAUGAGAAACUCAAUGUAUGGGUAGCUUACUUUAACCUUGAAAAUGAAUAUGGGAGUCCACGAGAGGAUGCCGUCAAGAAGAUAUUCCAAAGAGCCAUGCAGUAUUGUGAUCCUAAGAAGGUGCACCUGGCUCUUCUUGGAAUGUAUGAGAGGACUCAACAGCAUCAACUGGCAGAUGAACUUCUUGAUAGAAUGACCAGAAGAUUCAGGACUUCACACAAGAUCUGGUUCCGCCGCAUUCAAUUUUCUCUCAAGCAAAGUGAGGGCGUUGAAUACAUCAACUUUGUCGUAAACCGCGCGCUUCUAGGUCUGCCACAGCGCAAGCAUAUAAGGUUUCUCACACAGACCGCUAUCCUGGAGUUCAAGUGUGGGGUGCCUGAGGAAGGGAGAACCAGAUUUGAGCUGAUCCUAUGGGAUCAUCCAACAAGAACAGAUAUUUGGAGUCUUUACCUUGAUCAAGAAAUUCGACUUGGUGACACGGAAAUUAUACGGGCAUUAUUUGAAAGGGUGAUAUCCCUUAGUCUUCCUCCAAAAAAAAUGAAGUUCUUGUUCAAGAAAUACCUGCGAUAUGAGAAGUCUCAGGGCGAUGAAGAAAGAAUCGACCAUGUGAAGCAAAAGGCACUCGAGUUUGUGAACAUGCCCUACGAAUAA